CUCUGGGGCUGUGCCACUUACCAGCUGGGUGACCUGGGCAACUAUCCAGCCUCUCGAAGCCUCAGCUUCCUCCACUGGAAACUGAGGCCAACGAGCAACCCCCGUCAUGAGGCUAUUUCGGAUGACAAAAUUGGGGCCCAGAGAGGUUAAGUACCAUGUGCCCAGGUCACAGAGCUGGUCAGUGGCAGAGUGAGGAUUCCAGCCCAGGCAGCAUCCAUGUGUUGAAGAAAAGCUGCCACACUAUUUGCAUUCUUGUCACUGUUGGGCUUCUGUAUCUGUAUCUGAGCCUGAGACUGACCGUUACGGUGUUCCUGAGUCCCUGGGUCAGCCGCAGGAGGGCCAAGGAAGAACCGUUCAAUCCCCGGGCUACCUGUGCCCUCAGAGACUAGGGCACCAUGGGAGCCUCAGACUCCCUCAGGUAUCAUCACCAUCUAGAAGCUGACAUCUCCCCAUAAGGGGACACAUUUUCAAAUUUAUGUAGAAGCUGUUGAAUAAAACCCACACUCAUUUAAAAGUGUUACUGAAUGCAUA